AAGCCAACAACUUCUGAUUUUUCUCCUCCAAAGCCUAACACCAAACUUAGACAAACGAAACUUCCUGUUAAAAGGGUGAUUGACGUAGAUCCCUAACCCAUCAAUGUGGAGUUUGAGCUUGUCAAAAGCGACAACUCUAGCGUAGGGCGCUCAAACGAGUACUGCCACCUCCAGCAUUAAGAAGGAUAUCCCUUAAAGUACGAGUUAUCCCUCUGCUCACCUUUUAUCCAACAAAGGUUCAAGUUACGAAGUUAAUCAACUUGCCAAAGUCUAACAAAAAGGUGUUCCAACCCCGCCUUCUCCUCAUCAUUCUGAAUCCACUGAGACUGGUCAUGAUGAAGGAGAUUUUGACCACAUCGACAUGGAAGCCCCCGACACUGAAGAUAGACCCCAAGGUGAUGAUUCUUCUCUAAAAAUUUCGACUCCAAUUGAAGAGGAGCAAAGGAUGAGGAUGAACAUAUGUCCUAUGCCCAUGAAGAACCUAAAGGGGGAGGAGAACCUAAAGGGACAAACCUAAACUAGAU